rnacentral:rRNA from 1 species
UGGGGAAUAUUGGACAAUGGGCGCAAGCCUGAUCCAGCAAUGCCGCGUGUGUGAAGAAGGCCUUCGGGUUGUAAAGCACUUUUAUCAGGAGCGAAACGCUGUCGGCUAAUACCCGGCGGAACUGACGGUACCUGAGGAAUAAGCACCGGCUAACUUCGUGCCAGCAGCCGCGGUAAUACGAAGGGUGCAAGCGUUAAUCGGAAUUACUGGGCGUAAAGCGUGCGUAGGCGGUUUCUUAAGUCUGCUGUGAAAUCCCCGGGCUCAACCUGGGAAUGGCAGUGGAUACUGGGAGGCUAGAGUGUGUCAGAGGGUGGUGGAAUUCCCGGUGUAGCGGUGAAAUGCGUAGAGAUCGGGAGGAACAUCAGUGGCGAAGGCGGCCACCUGGGGACAACACUGACGCUGAGGCACGAAAGCGUGGGGAGCAAACAGGAUUAGGAUACCCUGGUAGUCCACGCCCUAAAACGAUGCGAACUGGAUGUUGGUCUCAACUCGGAGAUCAGUGUUGAAGCUAACGCGUUAAG